rnacentral:rRNA from 1 species
GACGAACGCUGGCGGCGUGCUUAACACAUGCAAGUCGAACGGUGAAGCGAGUGCUUGCACUCGUGGAUCAGUGGCGAACGGGUGAGUAACAUGUGAGUAACCUGCCCAUCACUCUGGGAUAAGCACUGGAAACGGUGUCUAAUACUGGAUACGACCAACCCUUGCAUGGGGUGUUGGUGGAAAGAUUUAUCGGUGAUGGAUGGACUCGCGGCCUAUCAGCUUGUUGGCGGGGUAAUGGCCCACCAAGGCGACGACGGGUAGCCGGCCUGAGAGGGUGACCGGCCACACUGGGACUGAGACACGGCCCAGACUCCUACGGGAGGCAGCAGUGGGGAAUAUUGCACAAUGGGCGAAAGCCUGAUGCAGCGACGCCGCGUGAGGGAUGACGGCCUUCGGGUUGUAAACCUCUUUCAGCAGGGAAGAAGCGAAAGUGACGGUACCUGCAGAAGAAGCACCGGCUAACUACGUG